AUUGAACGCUGGCGGCAGGCCUAACACAUGCAAGUCGAGCGGAUGAAGGGAGCUUGCUCCUGGAUUCAGCGGCGGACGGGUGAGUAAUGCCUAGGAAUCUGCCUGGUAGUGGGGGAUAACGUCCGGAAACGGGCGCUAAUACCGCAUACGUCCUGAGGGAGAAAGUGGGGGAUCUUCGGACCUCACGCUAUCAGAUGAGCCUAGGUCGGAUUAGCUAGUUGGUGGGGUAAAGGCCUACCAAGGCGACGAUCCCUAACUGGUCUGAGAGGAUGAUCAGUCACACUGGAACUGAGACACGGUCCAGACUCCUACGGGAGGCAGCAGUGGGGAAUAUUGGACAAUGGGCGAAAGCCUGAUCCAGCCAUGCCGCGUGUGUGAAGAAGGUCUUCGGAUUGUAAAGCACUUUAAGUUGGGAGGAAGGGCAGUAAGUUAAUACCUUGCUGUUUUGACGUUACCAACAGAAUAAGCACCGGCUAACUUCGUG
rnacentral:rRNA from 1 species